UACGGAAGGCAGCAGUGGGGAAUAUUGCACAAUGGGCGCAAGCCUGAUGCAGCCAUGCCGCGUGUAUGAAAAAGGCCUUCGGGUUGUAAAGUACUUUCAGUCGUGAGGAAGGUGUUAAGGUUAAUAACCUUAGCAAUUGACGUUAGCGACAGAAGAAGCACCGGCUAACUCCGUGCCAGCAGCCGCGGUAAUACGGAGGGUGCGAGCGUUAAUCGGAAUUACUGGGCGUAAAGGGCACGCAGGCGGUUAAUUAAGUUGGAUGUGAAAUCCCCGGGCUUAACCUGGGAAUGGCAUUCAAGACUGGUUAGCUAGAGUCUUGUAGAGGGGGUAGAAUCCCAUGUGUAGCGGUGAAAUGCGUAGAGAUGUGGAGGAAUACCGGUGGCGAAGGCGGCCCCUGGACAAAGACUGACGCUCAUGUGCGAAAGCGUGGGGAGCAAACAGGGAUUAGAUACC
rnacentral:rRNA from 1 species